GUGGGAAACAGACACCAAACACCAGACCUUUCCAGAGUCGGGGGACAGAAAACUUCAAGGCAGAGAAGAUCCUACAGAGACCCUCAGCUUCCAGAAACACCUCAACUGCAGCAAGGAGGGACUAGGUCCUGGAGGGACCAGUUUCUGGUCCCCAUCAGGACAAGCUCAGUGCCCCCAGCAGGUCAAACCAAGCUAAAGACUAAUGUGAGUUUUGACCUGGGGGGUCAAAGGAGACGAAAUCUUUGUUUGAGACAAAUUCAGUCAAAUUUUUAAUAUUGAGAUUUUCUUUAUCUUUAUAAAAGUUUAGUUUUAGUCCAGAUCCUUGGACCUGGUCUAGAGUUCUGGUCACAUCAUCACUAAGGACAGGUGACGUGUCUCUGCUGUCCUCACAUAAAAGACUUUCAUUUCAGGAGACAUCACGAUGGACUUCUGAAGACACUCCAGACAUCAGGGAGGUACGCUACAUGGCCCCACCUAAAGGACCACCACAGGCCCCGCCUAUAGGACCACCACAGACCCCGCCUACAAGACCACCAGAUAUUUUUCUAACUCAGAAUAAAACCUGCUUUAAAAAGUUCUGGAGCAGUGUGGGAGGGGCCUUUUCUCCAUGAAAGGCAAAGCAUUCACUGUUGCAAUGCAUUCUGGGAUCUGUAGUUUGAGUUUUGUGUGGAACCACACCAGGUGUGGAACCACCAGGUGUGGAACCACCAGGUGUAGAACCAUCAGGUGUGGAACCACCAGGUGUAGAACCACCAGGCGUGGAACCACCAGGUGUAGAACCACCAGGUGUGGAACCACCAGGUGUAGAACCACCAGGUGUAGAACCACCAGGUGUGGAACCACCAGACGUGGAAACACCAGGCGUGGAAACACCAGGUGUGGAACCACCAGGAACCACCAGGUGUGGAACCACCAGGUGUGGAACCAUCAGGAACCACCAGGUAUGGAACCACCAGGUAUGGAACCACCAAGUGUAGAACCACCAGGUGUGGAACCACCAGGUGUGGAACCAUCAGGAACCACCAGGUGUAGAACCACCAGGUGUAGAACCAACAGGUGUGGAACCACCAGGUGUGGAACCACCAAGUGUGGAACCACCAGGUGUGGAACCACCAAGUGUGG